rnacentral:rRNA from 1 species
GGAUGGGAAGUGGCGGGUGCUUACCAUGCAAGUCGAACGGUGAAGCAGAGCUUGCUCUGUGGAUCAGUGGCGAACGGGUGAGUAACACGUGAGCAACCUGCCCCUGACUCUGGGAUAAGCGCUGGAAACGGCGUCUAAUACUGGAUAUGAGCUGCGACCGCAUGGUCAGCAGUUGGAAAGAUUUUUCGGUCUGGGAUGGGCUCACGGCCUAUCAGCUUGUUGGUGAGGUAAUGGCUCACCAAGGCGUCGACGGGUAGCCGGCCUGAGAGGGUGACCGGCCACACUGGGACUGAGACACGGCCCAGACUCCUACGGGAGGCAGCAGUGGGGAAUAUUGCACAAUGGGCGAAAGCCUGAUGCAGCAACGCCGCGUGAGGGAUGACGGCCUUCGGGUUGUAAACCUCUUUUAGCAGGGAAGAAGCGAAAGUGACGGUACCUGCAGAAAAAGCGCCGGCUAACUACGUGCCAGCAGCCGCGGUAAUACGUAGGGCGCAAGCGUUAUCCGGAAUUAUUGGGCGUAAAGAGCUCGUAGGCGGUUUGUCGCGUCUGCUGUGAAAUCCCGAGGCUCAACCUCGGGUCUGCAGUGGGUACGGGCAGACUAGAGUGCGGUAGGGGAGAUUGGAAUUCCUGGUGUAGCGGUGGAAUGCGCAGAUAUCAGGAGGAACACCGAUGGCGAAGGCAGAUCUCUGGGCCGUUACUGACGCUGAGGAGCGAAAGGGUGGGGAGCAAACAGGCUUAGAUACCCUGGUAGUCCACCCCGUAAACGUUGGGAACUAGUUGUGGGGUCCAUUCCACGGAUUCCGUGACGCAGCUAACGCAUUAAGUUCCCCGCCUGGGGAGUACGGCCGCAAGGCUAAAACUCAAAGGAAUUGACGGGGACCCGCACAAGCGGCGGAGCAUGCGGAUUAAUUCGAUGCAACGCGAAGAACCUUACCAAGGCUUGACAUAUACGAGAACGGGCCAGAAAUGGUCAACUCUUUGGACACUCGUAAACAGGUGGUGCAUGGUUGUCGUCAGCUCGUGUCGUGAGAUGUUGGGUUAAGUCCCGCAACGAGCGCAACCCUCGUUCUAUGUUGCCAGCACGUAAUGGUGGGAACUCAUGGGAUACUGCCGGGGUCAACUCGGAGGAAGGUGGGGAUGACGUCAAAUCAUCAUGCCCCUUAUGUCUUGGGCUUCACGCAUGCUACAAUGGCCGGUACAAAGGGCUGCAAUACCGUGAGGUGGAGCGAAUCCCAAAAAGCCGGUCCCAGUUCGGAUUGAGGUCUGCAACUCGACCUCAUGAAGUCGGAGUCGCUAGUAAUCGCAGAUCAGCAACGCUGCGGUGAAUACGUUCCCGGGUCUUGUACACACCGCCCGUCAAGUCAUGAAAGUCGGUAACACCUGAAGCCGGUGGCCCAACCCUUGUGGAGGGAGCCGUCGAAGUGGAGUGGAU